AUUCACUUGCCUGCUAUUGCC
rnacentral:siRNA from 1 species